rnacentral:rRNA from 1 species
UACAGGGGGUGCAAGCGUUGUUCGGAUUUACUGGGCGUAAAAGGGCUCGUAGGCGGCCAACUAAGUCGGAUGUGAAAUCCCCAAGCUUAACUUGGGAACUGCAUCCGAUACUGGAUGGCUUGAAUCCGGGAGAGGGAUGCAGAAUUCCAGGUGUAGCGGUGAAAUGCGUAGAUAUCUGGAGGAAUACCGGUGGCGAAGGCGGCAUCCUGGACCGGCAUUGACGCUGAGGAGCGAAAGCUAGGGGAGCAACGGGG